rnacentral:rRNA from 1 species
CUGGGAUGGUGGACCGGUGCAUUAGCUAGUUGGUAAGGUAACGGCUUACCAAGGCGAUGAUGCAUAGCCGAGUUGAGAGACUGAUCGGCCACAAUGGAACUGAGACACGGUCCAUACUCCUACGGGAGGCAGCAGUAGGGAAUCUUCCACAAUGGGCGCAAGCCUGAUGGAGCAACACCGCGUGAGUGAAGAAGGGUUUCGGCUCGUAAAGCUCUGUUGUUGGAGAAGAACGUGCGUGAGAGUAACUGUUCACGCAGUGACGGUAUCCAACCAGAAAGUCACGGCUAACUACGUGCCAGCAGCCGCGGUAAUACGUAGGUGGCAAGCGUUAUCCGGAUUUAUUGGGCGUAAAGCGAGCGCAGGCGGUUGCUUAGGUCUGAUGUGAAAGCCUUCGGCUUAACCGAAGAAGUGCAUCGGAAACCGGGCGACUUGAGUGCAGAAGAGGACAGUGGAACUCCAUGUGUAGCGGUGGAAUGCGUAGAUAUAUGGAAGAACACCAGUGGCGAAGGCGGCUGUCUGGUCUGCAACUGACGCUGAGGCUCGAAAGCAUGGGUAGCGAACAGGAUUAGAUACCCUGGUAGUCCAUGCCGUAAACGAUGAGUGCUAGGUGUUGGAGGGUUUCCGCCCUUCA